rnacentral:rRNA from 1 species
AAUGAACGUUGGCGGCAUGGAUUAGGCAUGCAAGUCGAGCGAGAAGGGUUUUUGCUUGCAUCAACCUGGAAAGCGGCGAAAGGGUGAGUAACGCGUAGUUACCUGCCCCAGGGUUGGGAAUAGCCUCGGGAAACUGAGGGUAAUGCCCAAUAACAUCUCCGGAUCAAAGGUGAGAUUCCGCCCUGGGAGGGGACUGCGUACUACUAGCUUGUUGGUGGGGUAAUGGCCUACCAAGGCGACGAUGGUUAGCGGGCGUGAGAGCGUGGCCCGUCACACUGGGACUGAGACACUGCCCAGACACCUACGGGUGGCUGCAGUCGAGAAUCUUCGGCAAUGCGCGAAAGCGUGACCGAGCAAUGCCGCGUGCGGGAUGAAGGCCCUCGGGUUGUAAACCGCGAAAGUGAGUAGGAAGGACCUGUGAAGAGCAGGUUUUGACCGAUACACAGUAAGGACGGGCUAAGUUCG